GAAAAUACAAAUUUGACCAUAGUUUGAAACUAUUGAGGCAACGACAUCGUCUCUGCAAAACUGCGGCAUACUCCCUUCUCCUUCGAUACAAGGUUUUUUUGCAAGUCAAACAACCAGACCAGAAAAGUAAAGGGAACUCCUGCGGAUUGUGUCUCCUUAGCUUUGUCGAGUGAAUUGUUUUCUUGGUUGAAGCCUGCAUUGGUCAUUAGCGGAACUAACAGGGAUUAAAUUAUGGGCAUCAAACGCUUCACAUUCUAAAGUGCCUCAAAGGAGGAAAGCAAUGUCAAUUUCACUUUCAUGGAUAGGAGGUUGCAAAAUGAAUACUUCCUCAAUUCCUAUUGUUCGGCGUGGACCAAGGGAAUUCUAUUGACAGGAGCACACAAAACAGGGAAGGGUCUGCUUGCCAAAGUACUAUCGAAUUCUGGACCAACUCUUAUCUAUUUCUCCUUCUUGUUGGAUGGGAAGAGCUGGCAUUGCAUCUAUCCCUUGUUUAAUGAGGAGACUCAUGUGGUGGACUUACCAGGGAGAGCCAAAGUAGUCUUGCUAUAGUUGGGAUUUGGGAAGGACUUUGGAGUGUGUGUUGGAUUUGUUUUACUUCUCUUAGUAUGCAAUGUCACCAGAAGCUCAUUCUACUCGUAAGUGGAUUUAGAGUAGAAUGUGCAAGAUAAAUAUGUGCAUUAUUUGAGUGACCAUGUCAAGGUUCUCAUGAGCUUUUCCCUAUUUGUUUCUAUGGUCUGGCGUUAUCAAGGAAUUAUGCUUUCUACAGACAUCGUCUGCUUGUGUUGUUGAAUCCAAAAAUGUUCACUCAAAUAUUAAUGAGGUUUUAAAAACUUUACCUUCAAA